GACGAACGCCGGCGGCGUGCUUAACACAUGCAAGUCGAACGAUGAAGUUCCUUCGGGAAUGGAUUAGUGGCGAACGGGUGAGAAACACGUGAGAAACCUGCCUCUCAUUUUGGGAUAACUCCGGGAAACCGGAGCUAACACCGAAUACUCCGUCUCGGCGGCAUCGCUGAGCCGGGAAAAAAUUUUGAUGAAAGAUGGUCUCGCGGCCUAUCAGCUAGUUGGUGAGGUGAUGGCUCACCAAGGCGACGACGGGUAGCCGGCCUGAGAGGGCGACCGGCCACACUGGGACUGAGACACGGCCCAGACUCCUACGGGAGGCAGCAGUGGGGAAUAUUGGGCAAUGGGCGCAAGCCUGACCCAGCGACGCCGCGUGAGGGAUGAAGGCCUUCGGGUUGUAAACCUCUUUCAGUAGGGAAGAAGCGAAAGUGACGGUACCUAAAGAAGAAGCACCGGCUAACUAUGUGCCAGCCGCCGCCGUAA
rnacentral:rRNA from 1 species